UUCCGUUGGUGCAAAAGCUUUCACUUCUCGUGCUACCGUGACUAAGAUGGAAGCGCUGCUGGAGUCGCGGUCCGGACUUUGGGCCGGGGGUCCGGCCCCCGGGCAGUUUUACCGCAUUCCGCCCACACCCGGUUCCUCUGUGGACCCGGCGUCCGCGCUGUACGGGGCUCCGAUUACGCGCACCCAGAACCCCAUGGUGACCGGGACCUCUGUCCUGGGGCUCAAGUUUGAGGGCGGAGUGGUGAUCGCAGCAGACAUGCUGGGCUCCUACGGCUCCUUGGCUCGUUUCCGCAACAUCUCUCGCAUUAUGCGAGUCAACAACAGCACCAUGCUGGGUGCUUCCGGAGACUAUGCUGAUUUCCAGUAUUUGAAGCAGGUUCUCGGGCAAAUGGUGAUUGAUGAGGAGCUGUUGGGAGACGGACACAGCUAUAGUCCUAAAGCUAUUCAUUCAUGGCUGACCAGGGCCAUGUACAGUCGCCGCUCCAAGAUGAACCCCCUGUGGAACACCAUGGUCAUUGGAGGUUAUGCUGAUGGAGAGAGCUUCCUGGGUUAUGUGGACAUGCUUGGUGUGGCCUAUGAAGCCCCUUCGCUGGCCACUGGUUACGGUGCAUACUUGGCUCAGCCUCUGCUGCGAGAAGUUCUGGAGAAGCAGCCAGUGCUGAGCCAGACGGAGGCCCGAGAACUAGUGGAACGCUGCAUGCGAGUGCUGUACUAUCGAGAUGCCCGUUCUUAUAACCGGGUGAGAAGUGUGAAUAGUAAAUGGGGGUCUAAUUGGCAGGCUGUGCGACUCCUGAGUCUCUAUACGUUGAAGAACAGGCCAUUUCUGUGUCUAUUUUUCACAUUUCAGAAAAACCCUCCAUUUGACCUUUGACCAGGCCUGAGGCGUCUUUGAUGACAGGGUUGGUAUUUUCAUUGAGAGCUCUGCUUUUUUUUUCAGUUUCAAAUUGCCACUGUAACUGAAAAAGGUGUUGAAAUAGAGGGACCCCUGUCUGCGGAGACCAACUGGGAUAUUGCCCACAUGAUCAGUGGCUUUGAAUGAAAUACAGAUGCGUUAUCCAGAACUGAAGUUGUACCCUUCUUCUAACUUUGAACUUGGUUGGUUCAAAGGUACUAUUCUUUUUGUAAAAUAAAUAAAUCCUUUGAAAUGCUG